CAGCACCUCAAGUGGUCAGGAUGAUUAUUGGGCCUAAAGCAUCCGUAGCCGGCUCUGUAAGUUUUCGGUUAAAUCUGUAUGCUCAACAUACAGGCUGCCGGGAAUACUGCAGAGCUAGGGAGUGGGAGAGGUAGACGGUACUCGGUAGGAAGGGGUAAAAUCCUUUGAUCUAUUGAUGACCACCUGUGGCGAAGGCGGUCUACCAGAACACGUCCGACGGUGAGGGACGAAAGCUAGGGGAGCAAACCGGAUUAGAUACCCGAGUAGUCC
rnacentral:rRNA from 1 species